UACGAAGGGGGCUAGCGUUGUUCGGAAUUACUGGGCGUAAAGCGCGCGCAGGCGGCUAUCCAAGUCAGUGGUGAAAGCCCGGAGCUCAACUCCGGAACUGCCAUUGAAACUGUUUAGCUUGAGGAUGAGAGAGGUGAGUGGAAUUCCCAGUGUAGAGGUGAAAUUCGUAGAUAUUGGGAAGAACACCGGUGGCGAAGGCGGCUACACUGGCUCAUUACUGACGCUCAGGCGCGAUAGCGUGGGGAUCAAACAGG
rnacentral:rRNA from 1 species